AAUAAAAAUCGAAUCAGGUCUGUAAGGCCCCCGCAACGAGGGCAAUUAGGAGCCGUCUACAGCCCAUCUGUCUACACCCCGGCACCGCUGCCACCCCGGAGCAAAGCGGAGCGGUCACCAGGGGCCCGUCGGGGGGCAGCCCCUUCCUCUCCCGUCCCCUCCGCGCCGCCGCAGGGCAUUAGUUCGGGCUGGCCCCAGCGCCGCGGCGCGCUCCGUGCCGCCCGGCGUAACCCGACCCACUCCCGGCCGGGAAACGGGGACGGAAUCGUCGCGAUGCCGCUACCCGCCGGCCAGACUGCUGGAGCUGGUUAGCACCUUCCCCUGGCAUCAGGGACAUGGCCGCAGCCCAGCCUCCUCGGCGGGAGGGCAGGUGAGGGGAUGAGUACCCAGGGCUUAACUUGAAGCCAGGCUUAGGAUCUUCUGCACUUUUGAGCAGUCUGCAUGAAGGGUGGCCUAUACCAGCUUAAAAGGCAUAUGGUGUGGAAACUGAAGGAAGCAGAAUUAAAGUCUUGGAGUUGAGUGACUAUCAGACAGACAUUGGCCAAGUUUUGGAUGUGUAAUUCUCCAACCUCUGCCAUUCAUAUUACUUUGUCUACCAGUGUUUUCUGGACUAAGUGACCUAGUCACAAAAUUGCUCUAAUUGUGGAAACAUUUGGCUACAAGAGCUACAGGAAGCUAUUCAAAGGCACUUCAUUUUUUGCC